rnacentral:rRNA from 1 species
CAGCCGUAAACUAUGCGCGUUAGGUGUACUGGUGACCACGAGUCACCGGGGUGCCGAAGGGAAACCGUGAAACGUGCCGCCUGGGAAGUACGGUCGCAAGGCUGAAACUUAAAGGAAUUGGCGGGGGGAGGCACCACAACGGGUGGAGCCUGCGGUUUAAUUGGACUCAACGCCGGAAAUCUCACCGGAUAGGACAGACAUAUGAUAGUCGGGCUGAAGACUCUACUUGAUGAUCUGAGAGGAGGUGCAUGGCGUCAGUGACU